rnacentral:rRNA from 1 species
GUACACGCUGUGACUAGCAUAUCAAUAAGCGGAGGAAAAGAAACUAACAAGGAUCCCCUAGUAACGGCGAGUGAAGCGGGAAGAGCUCAAAUUUGAAAUCUUAAAGGGUUUCCCUUUACGAAUUGUAGUUUAAAGAAGUGUUUUCUGUUGAGGUUUUGGUAAAAGUUCUUUGGAAUAGGACAUCAUAGAGGGUGAGAAUCCCGUAUUUGACCUUUACUUUCAACUUUGUGAUACACUUUCAAAGAGUCGGAUUGUUUGGGAAUACAGUCCAAAAUGGGUGGUAAAUUUCAUCUAAAGCUAAAUAUUGGCGAGAGACCGAUAGCGAACAAGUACCGUGAGGGAAAGAUGAAAAGAACUUUGAAAGGAGAGUUAAACAGUACGUGAAAUUGUCAAAAGGGAAGCGUUUGACACCAGUGUUGUUUUUCUGAAAAUCAAUUAAAGAACUGUUUAUGCUAAGCUGUUUAGACUUUAUCAGCUAUCUGUUUAGUUUUAGGCUUUUCUUUAAUGCACUUUUCAGUUAACAAGUCAACAUCAAUUUCUUUUGCUGUAAAAAAGCUUGAGGAAGGUGGCUUGAGAUUCGUCUUAAGUGUUUAUAGCCUCUUGCCUAUGCAGUCGGAGAGAUUGAGGUCUGCAGCGUAGAUCCUUCGGGGCUAAAUGCAUUUGUGCUAAGUUAUAGCAUUUUAUAGACAACUUGUUGACUAUGAUUUGUCUUGUAGCUUACUCGCUUAUGUUAUUUUACCUACGCUUAGGAUGUUGAGUCGUAGAGCACGCAG